GGCCCACCACUUUCAUCGAGUGAGCAUUCGUCUUCUGGUUACGGGGCCAUAGCUCAGCUGGGAGAGCGCGUGCUUUGCAAGCAUGAGGUCGUCGGUUCGAUCCCGUCUGGCUCCACCAGAUGGUUUGAUCACCGAGAUCUUGACCGUCGUCCGCGAAACAUCACUUCGCAUCCUGCUAGUCUGGAUAGACAGCAGUUUGCGUGUUUUCUGACAUCGUAAAGAGGAGAUCGAUCCGAGUUGGGUCGUGCAGCAUAUCGUUGCGCGAGCCUUCAUUAUCUCCGGAUCAUUUCGGCGCUCGCUUCCAGCCGUGAGGUUGGAUGCGGGUUGUAAAUGAUCCUUUUAGCGAAGCUUGACCGCCUCGCUAUCGGAACGAUCUUACGAAGCAAGCUGGUCUUUCUAGUCAAUGUCCGGCUGCGGAUAGCGUUCAUCGAGGGCGCGUGCCGCAAGGCAAUUCUGCAGACAACAUUCUGCCGAGUGUGUGGACAUUGAUAAUGAGAGCAAUCAAGUGCCUUAAGGGUGUUCGGUGGAUGCCUUGGCGCUGAGAGGCGAUGAAGGACGUGCUACGCUGCGAUAAGCCGUGGGGAGCUGCGAAGAAGCUUUGAUCCGCGGAUUUCCGAAUGGGAAAA
rnacentral:misc_RNA from 1 species